GGUAUUCAACCCGUGUUCCGACCACACAUGGAGCACGGGCUCGCCUCCUCUCCUUCUCGCCCCUGGAAGUACUCGCCACUGCCAGCACCCAUGCCGCCCGCUUCCGGUGAGCUCCGGUGCUGCGCAGUACGCCCCUGAGCUCCCCACCGUCUGCGCCUCCCUCUCCUCCUUCUAGAUUCUCCGCUCCCGACCUCUACUGCCCGCUUGCAACCCCACCCCCAUGGCUAGGGUUUCUGCCAGGGCUUCACCGACACGUCUCUGGCAGCCCCAGGUUCGUCUCCUUCCUUUCGGUCAAGUCUUGGUGGAGGUGGGGCGGCGACUUGGUUGUGGAAGAAGGGAGCACGGGGCGGCGUCAAGUGGGUGGAGCAUGUGCUUUGCUGCGAGGGUGGAAGAAAAGGGUGGCGGAUACGGUUUCAUCGUGUAGGCGGAGGAGAAGGAUGGCCGUGCGACCCUAUCAUCCUCUGGGUGGUGGUCAUCGUGCUCCAUGUGGAGACUAGGUGGAGCACAGACAACUAUUGUGGCUGAAGGUGCUGGGGCUGACGAGCUCCUGCCCCUACUGUAUGUGGAUUGGGAUGGAUGUGCACUGGGGUGAUUUGGGGAUCUGGUUGCUAAUGCUGCGAUAAAUCGUUGUUCUGAUUUUGGGUGAUCUUGGGCCGCUCGUUGUACCUUAUCUCUUGUGGUCGGCCACGCAGCCACUAUUCCCAAUGGCCGUGUCGCUGUUAUCUGCUGCACAUCUUUAUAUGGAUGUAGCCUACGAAGAAUAGGAACAAUCACUAUAGAGCCUGAAGAUUGUUUGUAUUUCUUUCAUUGUCUUUCACCGAUCUAUCAUUAUUUGAUUGGUCCAUGUAGAUUUAGAUAACAUGAGAUGAGCCGAUGAUACGUACUACUAUCUGAAGACACGAUUAUCUACUACAGAAUUGUUGAUGUAUUUGUGCUGACAGGUUUUGCGAGUACUUGAAACACAUUCAUUAGAGGAACUGGAGUUAAUUCUGACCAGGUUCUUGGGGCAAUCUGAAAGAGAACUUGGUGAUUUCAAGUAAUUCUAAGAGAAUAGGCCUUAUCCUUAUUUUUGAAUAAUGGUAAGAGCAUAGAUCUCAUCGACCAGGAAUUAAUCCAUCAGGCAAGCAGAAGACUGAACAAAACAGUACCUGCACAUAUUUUUUCCAAGAUGAUUAAUAUUGUUUUCUUUACUGUAAGGAACCAGCUUAUUAAGGCCUUUAUGCAUUGAACAAACUACCAAGAUUUUGUAUCUUUCUGUAUGAUUCAUAUUGCAUAGACACAUGAGUAGCGAUGGGAUACUAUUUGGUAUGAACAACAUCAUCAUCUUGUAAUUCUAACAUGUAUGCACUUAACUUAUUUAUGCACAUAAUAGUGAUGCGUCUUACGUAUCUGUCUAUUGUAUCUGAAUCUUCAAUGCAAUUAACUGCUUAAUUUGCCUUCAACGGGAUUGAGUGAUCUGGCAUAUAAGCUUAGCUCAGUGGUUCAGGUUAUCACUGUUAGUUUUCUGGUCGUGUAAGUUUUUAGACUUCUUGAGGUAGCUCAACCAAUAUGGCAUAAAGCUAUGAAGGGAUUUUGCUUGGAAAGAUUACUGAAAGGAUAACUUAACUUCAUUUUAUCCCCUAGAUUAGUAUAAGUAUAUAUUAGGCCCUCAUUUAUUUAGAUGUAUACCUUGCAUGGCAGUCUUGUUUAAACAGAUUUUUGGGGCAUUAAGCAAUUCAUACUCUGCUCACCAUUAUUCCCAUGUGUGUUGUUAGCCAAGCACUUGCUUUUCAAUAUAUCCUUUCCGAUGUUAGGCUGGGCUGCGCGAUUCUUCAGUGGCUGCUCAAUACAGUUGUGGUGAUCCGGGCGACGAGGAUAUUAGGGACAUCGGCCCGGCGGAGUAUGGUGCGUCAGCUAUGAAGCCAGAUCCGCAGGCACCAGGGACCAGGGUGGAUCAAGAGGUCGCUGAUUUGGGUUUUGCUUUAUCGCGGAGUUCUUGUGGGAGCGAAUCCGACAGAGCGAACCCUAUGCCUCGUUAGCAUGGGUACUCUUGAGAAGUCCAUAAGGGUUUUCGCAGAGGCAUACGACUUUUACAACCUGUAUUAGUGGGAAAAUGGGUUUAGUAUCAGGCAUGGGAAGAGCCGAUUGAAUCCUCACAAGCGGAAGACCAUGCAGGAGACUGUUUGUGGUUGCUCAGUAAGUAUAUCAAAUGAAAAUUCAGUUCUCCCUCAUAUUUGCGCUGGAUGAAGGGUCUGGUCUGAUGGUAAAACAUCCGUUGGAGAAGGGGGAUGCUUUGCGUGAGAAUACAAGGUCACGCCGAUGUGAGUGUCCUGCGAUAAUAAGGCUGCUACGGACAUUAGAUAAUGGGGGGUACAUAACGGAGCACCGGGUAGAGCAUAACAAUGUUAUGACGCCGGGAGAGAUGUUGCACUGGCCAUCGCACAAACACAUUGAUGUGUACAUGGGGGGCUUGGUGCGGGACUGAUCUAAUUGAGCGAAGCAAGAUUGGACACAUGGGGCAAUGGGGCUACGGGAAUCAUCCAUGGCCGCGCAUUACAGUGGCGGCAGGCCGGAUAACAAUGGCAGUAGGGACAGUGCCUCACGAAGUCCGAGGAGUCUGCAAUGAACCAGAUUCGUGAGCACCCGAUAGACUAAGAGGUAUCAGAUAACUUAGUAGAAACUGUGUUUUGGCUAACAAUACUGAGGUUAGGGUGUGUCUUCACAGGAAGGAAAUUGAAAAAUUCAGUGCCAGAUUUAAACCGUCGGGUGGGGGAAGGUGCUACAAUGAAAUUCAGUGUUGUUAGGUGCCCGUCUAACUGGCUAAUUUGAAAAGGUUGUAGAGUUAGGAGUGGCUGUCAUUUGUGAAUUUUGUUCGGAAAAAUCAAGGAUGCAUUGUGGGGUGUGGGAAAACAAAUCAUUUUUAUUUCAUGUAAUUUAUGUCCCCAAACCAUACCAUGGUAGCAAUAAUUUAAGAACUAUAGGAAAAUGAGAGUUGACUUGGAAUUCUGAAAUGUAUCAAUGACGAUCCUGUGAUUAUCAGAUUAUUAAUGUA